GGUGUAGCUCAGUGGUAGAGUAUCUGCCUGACAUGCACUAAGUCCUGGGUUCAAUACCUAGUACC
rnacentral:tRNA from 1 species